rnacentral:rRNA from 1 species
UACGGGAGGCAGCAGUGGGGAAUAUUGCACAAUGGGCGCAAGCCUGAUGCAGCCAUGCCGCGUGUAUGAAAAAGGCCUUCGGGUUGUAAAGUACUUUCAGUCGUGAGGAAGGUGUUAAGGUUAAUAACCUUAGCAAUUGACGUUAGCGACAGAAGAAGCACCGGCUAACUCCGUGCCAGCAGCCGCGGUAAUACGGAGGGUGCGAGCGUUAAUCGGAAUUACUGGGCGUAAAGGGCACGCAGGCGGUUAAUUAAGUUGGAUGUGAAAUCCCCGGGCUUAACCUGGGAAUGGCAUUCAAGACUGGUUAGCUAGAGUCUUGUAGAGGGGGUAGAAUUCCAUGUGUAGCGGUGAAAUGCGUAGAGAUGUGGAGGAAUACCGGUGGCGAAGGCGGCCCCUGGACAAAGACUGACGCUCAUGUGCGAAAGCGUGGGGAGCAAACGAGGGAUUAGAUACC